rnacentral:sRNA from 1 species
ACCCAGGCUGGAGUGCAAUGGCAUGAUUUCGGCUCACUGCAAACUCCACCUCGCGGGUUCAAUUGAUUCUCCUGCCUCAGCCUCCCACAUAGCUGAGACUACAGGUAAAAGGUCCAGGAGUUGGGCUGCUUGGAAUUUCCAAAGGGGGUGAGCUCUGCCUUUCCAUGGCCUCUUUCCUGAAGGGCAUCACGGCUGCUGUUGUCAUCAACGGCUCUGUGGCCAAUGUUGGGGGAACCUUACGCUACAAGGGUGAGACCCUGCCCCCUGUGGGCGUCAACAGAAAUCGCAUCAGGGUGACCAAAGAUGGCUAUGCAGACAUUGUGGAUGUCCUGAACAGCCCUUUGGAAGGACCUGACCAGAAGAGUUUCAUUCCUGUGGAAAGGGCAGAGAGCACCUUC